GAUGAACGCUGGCGGCAUGCCUAAUACAUGCAAGUCGAGCGAACAGACGAGGAGCUUGCUCCUCUGACGUUAGCGGCGGACGGGUGAGUAACACGUGGAUAACCUACCUAUAAGACUGGGAUAACUUCGGGAAACCGGAGCUAAUACCGGAUAAUAUAUUGAACCGCAUGGUUCAAUAGUGAAAGACGGUUUUGCUGUCACUUAUAGAUGGAUCCGCGCCGCAUUAGCUAGUUGGUACGGUAACGGCUUACCAAGGCAACGAUGCGUAGCCGACCUGAGAGGGUGAUCGGCCACACGGGAGCUGAGACACGGACCAUACUCCUACGGGAGGCAGCAGUAGGGAAUCUUCCGCAGUGGGCGAGAGUCUGACGGAGCAACGCCGCGUGAGUGAUGAAGGUCUUCGGAUCGUAAUACUCUGUUAUUAGGGAAGAACAAAUGUGUGAGUAACUAUGCACGUCUUGACGGUACCUGAUCAGAAAGCCACGGCUAACUACGUG
rnacentral:rRNA from 1 species